rnacentral:rRNA from 1 species
GACGAACGCUGGCGGCGUGCCUAAUACAUGCAAGUCGAGCGGACCAAUAGAAGCUUGCUUCUGUUGGUUAGCGGCGGACGGGUGAGUAACACGUGGGCAACCUGCCUGUAAGACUGGGAUAACUUCGGGAAACCGGAGCUAAUACCGGAUAAUUCAUCCCCUCGCAUGAGGGGAUGCUGAAAGUCGGUUUACGCUGACACUUACAGAUGGGCCCGCGGCGCAUUAGCUAGUUGGUGAGGUAAUGGCUCACCAAGGCGACGAUGCGUAGCCGACCUGAGAGGGUGAUCGGCCACACUGGGACUGAGACACGGCCCAGACUCCUACGGGAGGCAGCAGUAGGGAAUCUUCCACAAUGGACGAAAGUCUGAUGGAGCAACGCCGCGUGAGCGAUGAAGGCCUUCGGGUCGUAAAGCUCUGUUGUUAGGGAAGAACAAGUAUCGGAGUAACUGCCGGUACCUUGACGGUACCUAACCAGAAAGCCACGGCUAACUACGCGCCAGCCGCCGCCGUAACAC